GAGGCGUCGGGCCGCCCCACAUGAUGUUUUUUUGGGAAAUAACUUACCUGCUGAGUGUGCAUCUUAGAGGCCUGCUGUAGCUUUGGCUUCAGAAAGGGUGUCAUUUGGCGCUUGGCCUGAGUCCGUGUUGCUCUCGGUCUCCUUGGGCGAGGCGUUUCCCCCUCCCACUCCUCCUCGGCCUCUUGCUAGUUCACAGAUGCAUCAACGCAUCCACUGUUAAUCUGGCCAAAUCAGUUACAAAUGUUACAGAUUGUAAUUACCCAAGGAACUCCUAAAACUAAUUAUGUAAUUUGCAAUCCCCACAAUAAAUUACACCUUUCCUUUGGCUUGAUGUUCCAGAAAACUGUUUUCUGAAGGAGGCAGAGAAAGAGUGUUGCUCAUCCCUGCCAGGAACUCUCACGAAGUGGCUCUUUAUUUAGCUCUGCGGAAUGUUUGUGGGUGUUUGUCAGAGGUGGCCACAGGCGCCGUGCCACGGCUCUGGGCGGCAGCCACAUCAUCUUUUGCCACCAGGGGGGAUUUUGCCAGAAUACCCAUGGGCCCGUGUCUUGUUCCACCACCAGGAGAAACUUCAGUUUCCUUGGGCAAGAGUCUGGGAGGCCAGAUUCGCAUUGAACCGACCACCUCCUCUCCUGGGAGGGCUGGAGGAGGGAGAGACAUGGUGUUCUUCAGCUGCGCAUCCAGCCCUGAGCCUGGCUUCUGGUUCUGUAACACAGGCUCUGAAGAAGAACUCAACUUCAGUCCCGUGGAGACUACCAAAAGAGGAACCUCCCUGCAGCAAAGAAAGGAACCAGCAAGUGAGUUUUCGUGGGAAAUUUAUCUUUCA
rnacentral:lncRNA from 1 species